AUGGAAAAUGCACCAUUUUCACCUUUGGCAUAAGCGCCUUCCUUGCACACACAAUCCAUCAGGUGGCUCCAGCAGAAAAGAGAACCGGACACCGUGCGAUUCACCAUUCGGCCACUGGAGGGCGAACGCCAGAGGUGAUUUAUCAUAGGAAAAUGGGAAGGAAGUGACGUCACUGAAUCUGACGCUAAGCUCCGUCUCUAUUUAACCCUUUGAGCUCCGCAGGAGGUUUAAAUGGGCGCCAGAAUGUCUUGAAGGGAGGAGAACUAGAGGUGGGCAGGAUACAGAAAUUGGAAGCCAUGUGUAACUCCUCUGCUGGAGGCAAAAAAAUUGAACAGAGACAGCUGAAAGAGGUGCCUGACCUGUAGCUACAGGAAUGGUACUAUGAAUAGAAAGGUAUUUGGAGAUCCACAAGAUUCCCUGGAUCCAUUUGGAGUUGCACUACAGGACA